rnacentral:ncRNA from 15 species
CUAUCUUUGCAUCGUCAUGGUUCCCGUCCGCCGGACGGACGGGACAAUAGGGAAUCCGGUGCGAAUCCGGAACAGUACUCGCUGCUGUGAGUCCCCGCUCCGAAAAGGAGAGCCCCGCAACACUCUUUGCCACUGGCCGACGACGGCCGGGAAGGCGUUGCGGGCGGGACGAGUCAGAAGACCUGCCACGACAUGAGGAUUUGCA